rnacentral:rRNA from 1 species
UACGUAGGGGCCGAGCGUUGUCCGGAGUUAUUGGGCGUAAAGCGCGCGUAGGCGGGUUCGUAAGUCGAUUGUGAAAACCCUGGGCUCAACCCGGGACGUGCAGUCGAUACGGGCAGGCUAGAGUUCGGUAGGGGAGACUGGAAUUCCUGGUGUAGCGGUGAAAUGCGCAGAUAUCAGGAGGAACACCGGUGGCGAAGGCGGGUCUCUGGGCCGAUACUGACGCUGAGGAGCGAAAGCGUGGGGAGCGAACAGG